CCUAUCUUUUCUAUUUUGCGUGACGAAGUAUAUUUUUUGUCGCUCAAGUACGUCUUGCGCGACGAAAUACUCUUCGUCAUGCAAGCUGUUUUUUCUACUAGUGUAUUGUGGAAGACUCCAAGGCAGCCAUACUUAGGAUCACUGGAGUUUCUGCUACUCACACCCGACGUCAAGGAAGUUCAAUCACCCACCGCCUGGCUCGCCAUGUGCUGCAUAUGAGUCUGACUACCUGUUCUUGGUUUGAAGAGCCCUCAUAUUUCAUUUCAAAUUUACUCUUGUCUGAUUGUAAUUCUGUUGGUGAAUGAUGAGUGUUUAGAACCACACAUGUAAUGAUUGAACAUUCACCAUGCCAUCGGCCCGUGGUGGAUGUUUUUUUCUUUUUUUUUAAUAGUUUGGAGUAUAUUAAAAUCUAAAAUCCCAAUUAUAUCCCCUCUCUUGAAACUGGAUGAAAACCCUAAAAAGAAAACGUCAAUCCUUUUGUUUCUCCAUCUCUUCCGUCUCUGGUCGAUCUCGGUUUGGUCGUUUUUCCGGUCAUCUCUCCCUCAAUCAGCGGCAACCUCUCUACAUCACUCAGAUGGUGACGAGAUGCACUCAAGUGAUGAUGUGAAUGAAGCAAAAAACAGAAAGUGGAAGAGGUCCAACAAUGCUGGAUUAUAAUGUUGUGUCAAAGCCAAACAAAUUGGUGUUCAAUUCAAUGACAAAGGACAACAUUUUGGUGUUGGAUCAGGGAGUUUGAGUUCGUCGGCAGGGAUCCUUGCAAGACAACUAAUACCAGUAACUUACGCAAGUUGGGAUGAGGUUCCUACAAUUUUGAAAGAUAAAUUAUGGGCUGCUGUGAAGAGAAACAAAGGCACACCUGAGGAGGAUUUAAAUAGAGUCAAUCUUUGGAUAGCUGCUCGUGCAAGAAAAAAUGGUCAACCCGUAAAUGAGAUAGUGUCAAAGAAAAUGGAUGACAUUAAGUUGGCUAAUGAAAUGCCAACAACAGACAAUGGUUCUAUAAAAGAUGAUGCCUUAUCACAAGCACUUGGACCUGAACAUCGAGGUCGACUUCAAGGAGGUGGUUAUGGGGUUACACCUUCUAGAUAUGAUGCCCAAACAUAUGCCAGCAUGAGUAAUCGAUAGCUUAGAGACUGACUACAAAAUGUCGAAGGAAAAUUGCAGGAAGUGUUUGAUCUUGUGUUGGCUAAACAACAAAAUGAGGUAAUUAUAUAUGCAACUUUGUAUAUACUUAUAAAAAUGAUAAAAUAUUUACGGCAUAUAGCUACAGGGAAAUAUAUGCUAGUUACAACUUGUUGGUAUCUUACGAGGGUCUUCAUGCAAGUUACUAAAUUGGCUCGGAAAUGGACAAGUUGUUGCAACUGGAGAAAUAGAAUCAACAAAUCCUGAGGCGAAAGUUCAUCACAUGGUGCUUGGUCCUGAUUGCUGAAAAGUUUGGGUAACUGUUGUCAAAGUGGAGAAUAUAUCUUUGUACCGGCCCGUAAGUGAAUUUCGUGUCCCGAAGGAUGCUAAAUCUAGUACAAUUGCCUAGCCAUCAAAGUACGUCCGAGUUGGAGAGUAAUUAGUUGUGGUCAAUUUUGGCACUACAUGGAUAGUACUUUAUGACUUCCGCUGUUUAUGUAUUCAUUAGGCACUUCAUGGGUACUACUUUAUGACUUCUGUUGUUUAUGUAUUUAUUUGGAAACUCAAGUAUUUUUAAAUUAUGUUAUAAUAUUAUCAAGUAUUUUUUA